UCUGAAUCAGAAUCCUUUUGGAGGGAGCUUGGACCCACCCAAGGCCCAGUCCGAGAGGUGCCUGAGCAGCUUCAAGUCGCCGGGGAUGGUAAUGAUGUACAAGAAGUGGAAGAGGAUGUCCACAACCAGGAUUACAGCCAGCACCUGAGGAGCCAGCAUGGAGCAGAGCUUGGCGAACAGCAAGUGUCCAGACAGAGCGAACACAAUGUGAGCCCGGAAGGUCCAAAUCCACAUGGCCCACUCUGAGUCGGCCGUGUCCUUGAAGGACAAAAAAACAGAACUAAAGUCAGUCACUCCUUCUUGCUGGUCUCCUGUCCUUCAAACACGGGGUACUGGACCUCCAGCUGAGGCCAAGUCGAGACGCCGUUGGCCAGCGACCAAAUCACACCAGGCAAGGCGUCCAC